UUUCCGUAGGUGAACCUGCGGAAGGAUCAUUAUUGUAUAACCGAGGUGCGAGGCCUGUCGCUGACCCGAAAGGUCGUGCACGCCCGAGUGCCCUCACCCACGUCCAUCUGACCCCUAUGUGCACCACCGCGUGGGUCCCCCUUUGGCUUGUUCGGAGGGGGGCUUACGUUUUCACACAAACUUUGUAUGCAGUGUAGAAUGUAUUUUUUGUUUUUGCGAUCACGCAAUCAAUACAACUUUCAACAACGGAUCUCUUGGCUCUC
rnacentral:misc_RNA from 1 species